rnacentral:lncRNA from 1 species
CACCAAUUAAAUUAAAAGAAAAAAGACUAACUCAAAAAAUACAAAAAACCUUUAAAAAAAUCAAACAUUACCCUCCCUCUAUUAAAAAAAAUCCAAAAUCAUAGUCCCAAUAAUAUUUUUUAAUUUCAAACAUUCAAAGGCCCAAACAAUACGAUCUACAAAUCACGACAAAACAGAUAUGCAAAUCAUUGACGAUCCUUUCGGUUCCGUUCAGACCGGUAAUCCUUUCCGUUCCCACCACGAAUUCAGACCGACAAUCUUGACCGUCGAUGGAAACUCAGAACCGGGCUCGACCGACAUACUCUUUUUUGACGAUGACGUAGAUGGUCUAAAAGAUAAGGAGUCGCUCUGAGUUGGCUCAAACAGCGACGAUGUUGGUAAAGAUAGUGCCUUUUGUACAGGAAAAAUAAGCGGCGAUAAUAUCUUCGACGGAGUGGUGGUUAUCGAAGCGUUUUAAGAAGGAUAGAUGAUAAAUUGGUGGUAGUGGAUUGGAUAUAGCAAUAAAUGUUGUCGAUUGGAUGGUUGUGGCGGGGUUCGGUUGUGGUCGACAUUUUGGUAUGAAUUUUUCUCCCUUAUUAUCUGUUGUUCCGCUCUUUAGCAGGAAAAGUCGAAAAUAUUCAUAUCUACUGAUUUAUUUUAUUGUCUGUAUGGAUUUUAAGCUUUGUUAAAUUUCUUGGAGCUACCCUCCACUACUCCUAAAUCCUAAUCCUAUCCAAGUCCAAGUCCAAGUCCUAUCCCAAUAUUGUAUGUCCUAUCCCAAUAUUGUAUAUUGGUGAGUUAGUAUAUGUUCUUGGUGUAUUAGUGUUUGUUCUUGGUGUGUUAGUGUGUGUUUUAAUUAUUUUAAUAUUUAUUUAUUUUAUUUUAUUUCUUAAAAUGAAAUUAUAUUCUGGGAAGAAAUGAAUUGAUUUAGUAUAUAAUUUAUUCUUUGGGUAAUUUAGUAGUUAGGCUUGUGGUGGUCGAGUGGUCUCAUAGCCAAAAUUUUAAAUUUUAGGUCUUGGGUUCAAUUUUGAGGAGCAACAAAAUUUUGGAAAUUAGUUUUGGAAAAAGUACACGUUAGCGGUGCCAAUACACGUCAGUGGUUUGCCACGUAGGCAGGUCAACGCACAUGUGGUACCUAGGAGCUCAAUAUCCAAAUUUUCGAACAGAAAUGAGCUCAAUUUGCGCUGACUAAAAAGAAAGGGGCUUAAUACCCAAAAACACCUAAAUUUCAGUGGCCACAUUUGCAUUUUACCCUAUUCUUAACCCAUCUCAUCUAACAAAAAUACUCUUUCCCAUCCACAAAAAUGACCAUUUGUAAUUUUUUUUGAGUGAUCUUUUAAUCGAUAGUAAUAUACAAUGAUACAAUGUUGUUAGGAAUAAGCACGUGAAUGAUAUUCCUAUUUAUAUAAUAUUUGAUUAUGAUCUUAAUGAAUGAAUAUGCAAAUAUGUCUGCAUUGAAACAAGUUGUAAAGUCCUUGAAUAGAUAAUAGAAAUAUAUGUACAAGGACUUAUACUGAAAUGAUCAAAUAUGUUAGGAUUGAUUCUACAUGAACAAAACAGCUUUGUAAAGUCCUUCAAAAGAAUAUGAUGUACAAGGACUAAAUUUAGAAAGAUCAAGCUUAUUAGGUUAAUCUUAUAUGAUGUAAUAGAUAGGUCUGUCUUAUCAUUAAACAUUGCACCAGCCCUCGAAGUCUGAAAGAAGAGUAACUCCCGAAGUUCGUAGUCUGACAGCAGAAGCCAAGGCAGAAUCGUAGAGUAUUGAGAAAAUUGCUAAAGAAUCGUAGUCUGCUUUGGAGGGUCUCGCUCGGAAUCGUAGAGUUGGUCCAAACGCCUGCCGAGCCAAGUCAAGAAUCGUAGACCACAAUCGAAGUUGUGGAGUCUACUGAUCAUAUCAGAGGCAAAAAUCGUAGUCUAUUCUUGAAGUCAUAGUGACUGCAGAACCAAAGCUAGAUCAAAGUCUGCAAAACAAAGUCUUCAACAAAGUCUAUCAGUGCUCACAACGCCAAGGAAGAAUCGUAGUGAUAACACAAUUCUCAACACAUGAGCACUUCCAAAGCACCCAAAGAAUGUAGCCUCUGGUCAGAACUAUAAAGAUGCAAUCUGCCUGAAGGAAGCCAGAGAGCACUUACCAAAUGGCUUGCAAGCAAAUAGAAGAUCGAAACACAAAUUCAGUCAGCAUCCUGAUUGAAAAGGUGAAGCCAUUUAAGGGAAGUCUUCCAAAAGCAACAGUAAGAAGACUUCAGAUAAUGUGACUGACAAAAGGAAGUCAGCAAUGAAGUAGCUGUCAAGAUAAACAAAAGAUGAAGAUCUUAGGUAUAACUAUGAUUGUAAUGCUUGUCAGAUGAGAAGCAGGAACUGAUGAGGUCUAUAACAGAGAUACUGGCCAACCUAUAUAGAGUAGACAAAGAAGAUUAAGCAUGGGCCAGACCAUUGAUGAUAUGUGAACGGGAGAUCACAAGGAGAAAAGAGCUGAGCAUGACCAGUCUGAUGAGUCUUGGAUUUCAAGAAUGCCAGCACAAUCAAACAAGUUGUCAGUGUCUAUUGCAAGUCAAAGGCAAGCAGAAGUGUUGAAAUACUGCGAGAGUGAAGGAAGAGAGGUUUUACAUUGCAAAUCCAAGGAACACUCUCAAAAUCAUAGUGUUGUCUCAAUCAGUCAAUGAGCAAUAUUCAAAAGACUAACUAUGAUCAAGUUCAAGGUCAUCUGCAUCAGAAUCGUAGAGUUCGGUCAUCUGAGUAUUGAAGCCUUGGUAACAUCUCAAUACAAAGACUGACAUUCGAACAUUGUUGAUUGAAAGCAUCGAUGUAGAAGGACAACUCCUGAUGUUCUGAUCAAGGAGUCAAAAUGAAGAAAUAAAGGUGACUACUAGCCUGACACGUUAAAGCGACAUGUCUGAUGUGGUAGGUGAAAUAGUAGACUGCAGUAUCAGAAAAGUGAAGAGGGGGCUGUCACAUCACAUCAGCAGUCUGCACCAAAUAACUCAAGAUCUGCAAAUCAAUUCAAAUAGCCUCCAACGGCUAUAGUCCAACAGGAAGCUCAUGGAAGGAUAUUUAACAAUCGAAGCUUGAAUGCAGAAAAAGAGUUGUUGGUUUUGACAAGUUGUUGACUCUACGAGUUCUAUAGAGCUAAAAAGAAUAUGUCUUAGUGACAGUGAGACUACGAAAGUAGAAGUGAAACAAGAUAAGAAAAGAGCUUUAACAGAAAAAGGCUUCACUCAACAACAAUGAGAAUGCCAUUAAGAAUGUCAGCUAAGCUGAGAGCCGAGAAUGCCAAUAAGAUAACAUUUAGAAGAUUGGCAGAUCAGAGAAAAGAUCCAAAGAGUCAUUCUACGAAUCAACAUGAACCACCAAGAGCUGAAGAAGAACAGAUACAAAACCAAAUUUGUACACAAGUUAACCAAGGUUCGGGGGAUGCUAAAUGCCAGACUAAGUCUACCAAAAGUGCAAAGACUUAGCAAACCUCAAAUGGUGAAGGUGUGCAAGUUGAGAUCAGAUAAAGAUAAGAACCAACCACAAGAUCAUCUGCACGAAAGGAGUGACAGACUGUUACUUACUCAAAGAAAACGAGCUUCAUGAACAACUUAACAGUCUGUCUAAUAGUGAUCCAGUCUCGAUGUAGAAUCCAAAGAGGAUCAUAACAAGCUGCUAAGUAUCAAAUGAUGAACAAGCUUAAAGUCAUCUUAGCAGCUCAACACCAACAACAACAUCAACAAGAAGCCAGGGCCUGAGGGGUCCUUGUCCUAGGGACUAAACAGAGUUCCAAGUCUGUCAGACUUGAAGAGUUCUUAGUGAACUAGAGUUCCAAGUCUGCUGGACUUGAAGAGUUCUCACUGAACUAAAGUUUCAAGGCUGCUGGCCUUGAGAAAUCUUAAUGAUUCAAAGAUGUAAAGACUUCUUUAGUGGAAUCCCUGCUUGUUGAAGCAGAAGAGUGGAUUAGGAGCUUGAGUCUCUGAACCACUUAAAAUUCCUUGUCUUUUACAUACUGUCAUUUACAUUAUGAAUCUAUAACUGCUAUGAAUAUGAUAACUACUUACAUCUAAACCAACUCUAGAAAAGUGGUCAACAUAACAUCUAUGAAGGGGAACCUUAACUUAUUCUGCUGUGUUUAAAAUAAUUCUUAAGUUUGUCAUCUGCUAAUUACUUAGCAAUGUAAACUAAAAUGGAAAAGAUUUAUGAAAUCUAAAAGGAUCUAUUCAACCCCCCCUUCUAGAUCUAUUGUGUGCCCUAUGGGAACUAACAAAUGCCUUUAUGGAUAUCUUUAUAAUUUCAUUAUCAUGUAUUUAUUAUUUAUUUAACAACUUGUUAUUUUUAGUAGUAAAUAUGGAAAAAGAAUUAAUCAGUGGUGGAUCUAUGCAAGGGGCAGGGGGUAACUGAUUCCACUGAAUUUUUAACGGGGUCAAAUUAUUUGCUCAAAUAGUGGGAGAGUCCUUACAAGGAGAUAUAAUUUGGAAAGGAAUCAGUUAAUCAUUAAUUACAGUUAUAAGGUGAUUCUAAAAAGUACUCCUACUCCUAAUUGGAUUCGGGUGGACAAGACUUCUAUAAAUACAACAACAAGCAAGGGUAGGGGAACACAAUUACAUAUGACACAAAUAAAAAAUUUGUACUCUCCAUAUUAUUUUAGUGGAUUUCUCAUCUCUCCGUGGUUUUUUCUUAAUUGGGUUUCCACGUAAAUUCUUGCGUCCAUAUUUUAUAUCUCUUAUAAUGAUGUGUGUAUGUUUAUUUGUGUAUAUUUUGUGAUUUUGAUUGCACAACAAUACAAUCAACUACUCCAUCAACCGUUAACGCUGUUUUGGCCUGCUGUUUUAGUGAUUUCGUCAGGCGUACAACAUUAAGCGUUAACAUUGGGACCGUCUGUGGGAACGCUUGUUCUAAUAUUGAAUUAAAAUCACCGAUUUACCAAGAAGAGGAGAUCCUACACAAAAGAUAAGUGAUUCUUUUUUAAUUACGAAAUCGACAUGAUUAUUGUUAUUAUUUUAUUUGUGAUAUAAAUUUGGUAUUGAAAGUCCUUGACUUGGUAGACUUUUUAUUUACAAUGUGAUGUUAUGCUUAUAAAUGAUAAAAUUCAUAGUCUAUGUUUAUAAAAGCUCACUGUUGCAUUAUGUUUUACUUAUAUGAUUAAUUUCCUUUAUUAAAAUUAAUAAAUCAUACCCAUGUGAUUACUAUCACUAGGUAGUACAAUAACAGUAUAUAUGUCGUGCAUAUUUAAAUUACUAUCCAGGUUUUAGAGAAAAGUUAUUAUCUGAAAACUAACAUGGACAUUGUAGGUUAAAUAUAUGCCAAUAAUUAUGUGAUUCGCUAAGUGUGAUGGUAUCAUAUAUAUAUAUAUAGGCUAAUUAAUACUGCAUAUAAGAUAAAAUUAUUCAAACGGAUUGCUUGAUAUGAAACUUUACAUGUGUUUUAAUGCAUGACAGCAAUUUUCAGUGAUGUACUUGCUGAUGAAUCCCUGCAAAAUGUCAAUGCCUAUAUUGGGUUUUUGUAAUUCAGUGCAUGCUUUUCGGUGCGAGCUAAAGAAUUAAUUUUUCAGAAGCCUAAGCAUGAAUAGUCAACGGAAGCUGCAAAAGGGCAGCCUCGUCACCUUCGGUAGACACCACCACUUCAAUGAGUAUGUGGAAUUUAAUCAUAGCGACCCACAUCCGUUAGCACGUUCAACCAUUGCAGUCACCAAAACCAAAUUUUAUCAUCGGAUGAUAAUAUUCGAUUCGAACUCGUCAAUAUUACACAUUUAGUGCUCUCAUUGGCAGUUUUCUACGGUCUUUAGUUGGCGGAGGAAAAAAUAGUAUUGGGUAAACCAGCUUCGGAUAAUGCUAGUUCACUUCAGACUAUAUCACAUCGGCUUCAGUAUGUCUUUGGCUAUCUACAUUUGGAGAUAUAAAGUUGGAUCAAAGCCUCCCAAGGGGUUGGGAAGGUUAUUAUGGGGAUAAAAGGUUGGUUUAGGGGUAUAUGGGUGGAUAAACGUCCUUCGGGAAGGCUUUGUUCUCCCAAAAGGAUAAAUAUUCUUUGAAUAGACAUCUUUUGGAUAGACAUCCUAUGGAUAAACAUCCUACGGAUGAACAUCCUUCGGGAAGGCUUAGUUCCUAUCGAAGGGAUAAACAUCCUUUGAAUAAACAUCCUUCAGGAAGGCUUUGUUCUCCCGAAAGACAAACGACAGUAGAUGUGGAGGGUUCAGUAGUUUUACUAGUAUGAAAAUUGGAUGGUAUGGUGGACUUUUUGUAUACUCUUUUAUUUUAAGUUCCUUAUAAAUAAGAGACUGAGGGGACAAUAUUGGAAUGUAAUUAUUUUAGUCUAGCCAAGGUGUAGCCCAACUUAUUUAAUGGACCAUAUUUGAUGUUAGCCCAUAUAUGUUUAUUUAGAAAGCUUGCUCAAAUAGUGGGAGAGUCCUUAUUAAAGUAAGAUUGUGUUUCCUUAUUUGGUGGGAUAAGGAUAUCUAACUUGGGAAGGAAGCGAUCAGUCAUUAAUUGCAGUUAUUAGAUGAUUCUAAAAAGGACUCCCACUCCUAGUUGGAUUCGGGUGUACAUGACUUCUAUAAAUACAGCAACAAGCAAGGGUUAGAGAACACAAUAACAUAUUACACAAAUAAACAAUUUGUACUAUCCAUAUUAUUUUAGUGGAUUUAUCAUCUCUCUCCGUAGUUUUUUUUCCAAUUGGGUUUCCACGUAAAUUCUUGUAUCCAUAUUUUAUAUCUUUUAUAAUGAUGUGUGUAUGUUUAUCUAUGUGUAUUUCGUGAGUUUGAUUUCACAACAAUACAAUCAACUGUUAGCGUUGUUUUGACCUGCUAUUUUAGUGAUUUCGCCACGUAUAAAAAAAUUGGCGUUAACAAGGGCUAAGCAUUCAGUUAUAACCUAACCGAAUAGGUUGUUUGGUUAUAAAUGAAAAUCAAAAACCAAAAUUAAUGUAUUUUUGAUAUCCGAAAAACUAACCAAAUCGUAUAAUAACCAAAUAACUGAAAAAUCGAAUAUCCAAAUUUACUAUUCGGUUAUUCAGUUAAUAACUGAAAUUGAGGAAUAUUACAAAGAUGUAAAGUGAAUAUGAUGAGAUUUGUUUAACAAUCAUGCUAGGAAUCUGAGUCUCUUGCCGAUGUUGCUAUUAAUCUAGCCCUUGCUGACGUUUUUGUUGAUUUGCUAGUCGAAUUUUCCCUUGCCGACAUUACUAUUGAUUUGAAUAUGCUCCUAUCAAUUUGCAGAAUUCGUUAAUUACCUGAAAGGAUAUGAAAAUUAGAUGAAAAGGAGGCGGAUCGCGAUUUGGGGACUGACUCUGGCUAACUAAGGUUUUGGUUUGGGUUAGGUUUGCAGAGAGAGAUGAGAUUAAAGAGUGAGAGAAUAGAGAUGGGUAUAAGAGAUCAGAUGUGACGGACGAAAUAAAUUUUGUAAUUAAUAGUUUUUGGUAAUAGUUUAUAAUUAUAAUAAUUGUAUCAACUAAAGUUAAAUAAAUUCACAUCAAUUUGAAGUUUAAUAUGUCGUAAUUUGAACUCAAAAGUCAAAUUGUAUCUCUAAU